UUAUUCUCAAGGUCGACGAUGGGGACACAUGACAACAAACGUUUCGGAGUCCAUCAACGCAGUGCUCAAGGGUACACGCAAUCUCCCAAUCACUGCUUUGGUACAAUCAACAUACUAUAGAUUGAGAGUUUUAUAUGCAGAAAGGGGACAACAACAUCAGGCAUCAUUAGCUUCUGGUCGAGUAUACACAGACGAUUGCAUGGACAA
rnacentral:lncRNA from 1 species